UCCGGUCGAGGGUUAUGGCGACACGGACACGGAGGCUCUGGCCGUGGCCACCGCGAUGUAUGCCCCGCCCCUGCUUGCCGAGCACUACCUCGCCGGGAGGAGGGUUAUGGCGACACGGACACGGAGGCUCUGGCCGUGGCCACCGCGAUGUAUGCCCCGCCCCUGCUUGCCGAGCACUACCUCGCCGGAUCACAUGUUGUUUGAUUCACUGUUUGGUUGAAGUGUAUACUGAUUACACCUUCUACCAUGUUGAUUCGCUGCAGAUAGACGUGAUGGUGAGGGUUGUCGACGGGUCUUUGUCCCAUGUGGUGGCCGAGUCGAGGUGAACACAGGCAAUGUUCGUCAUGCUUAACAGGUAAUGUCAAAGCAACUCAAUUUCUUCAAAAAUUGUAAUUUUGGUUUCAUCCUGCUUUCUUUUCGCAAAUACAGGUUCAAUACUUCUAUUUGUUUUUUAGCUCAUGUUAUACUAAUGUGAGGUUUAGCAUUAGGGGUAACUUUAUGCAAUUACACUUAGUCAAUAGCCUUUUCUGUUGCUCUCGGAUUUUUAUGUGGGUAAUGGUGUGAUCUCCGUACAGACUAUAGAUGUUGAUGAAAUACAUGUCACGCUGAAAAAUAGCAUGUCCGAGAUAAGGCAAUGGAACCUUCAUGCUUAUGAUGUAAAGGUUUUUGAGCAGAGGGACGCCCGUGAGAUCUCCUGGUGGUGUUCGGACGCGGCCGCCAGAGUUGUGGCCUUGGCUGCGGCCAUGGGCAGUUGUUGGAGACAAGCGAGGUCGGGCUUGGUUCGUCGGAUCUGUGAGUGGUAGGUUGAUUCAUGUUGGUUUUACAAGGCGGAGAAGUUUUCGUCCAAGCUUGACCACCACGUUUUUUUGUGUUCGAUGGGCUUGCACCGGAAUUUGCAGGGAGAAGCUUGCAUUGUAGCAGGCCGUGUCUACCUACAAGACGGCCAUCGACAAUCAAUUCCUGAAGAAGUUAGCAGUCUGUGCAGUAUGCUAUGGAUCAUCGUGUCCAUCAAGAGCAAUCCCUAUUGUUUGUGGUACAUAUAUUCAUCUCUGUUGAAUCUGGAACUUGGUAACUAAUUUGCCCCGUGUAUAGGUAGACAUCGAUCAAUAUGAGAGGAUGCUUAGCUACAUAUUAAUCCUUGUCAAUUCAGUACAAAUUUACUGAAUUUACAGAUGGAGGUUGUUGAGAGAACUUUAGCUAACAAUUAUAUGUCCUCGGUGAUGUACAAGCAAACACUAAAUUUUUGCAGUGUACAAAGUCCUUGAGUAAUUCCUGGCGCUACAAGUUUAAAAAAAAGAUGCCGGGUCUCUACCAUAUUCAGCCUCCACUUCAGAAUUUGAUUUGAACUAUAGGACAGUCGGUUGCUUUUG
rnacentral:lncRNA from 1 species